AAACCAACAGGGAUUCCCUUAGUAACGGCGAGUGAACCGGGAAAAGCUCAAAUUUGAAAUCUGCCAACAGGCCGAGUUGUAAUUUGUAGAUGGCUACACUGCAUAAUAGUAGAUGCUCAAGUUCUUUGGAAAAAGACAUCAUGGAGGGUGACAAUCCCGUGAGGCAUGUUACUAGGAGCAUAUAGUGGGCUUUCUAAGAGUCGAGUUGUUUGGGAAUGCAGCUCAAAGUGCGUGGUGAAUACCAUGUAAAGCUAAAUAUGGACGAGAGACCGAUAGCGAACAAGUACUGUGAAGGAAAGAUGAAAAGCACUCCGAAAGGAGAGUGAAAUAGUACGUGAAAUUGUUAAAGUGGAAGGGCUUGAGAUCAGAAUUGGUAGUUUGGGUUCCACGUCCUCUUGGGGGCGUGUACUCCCUUUCCACCGGGCCAGCGGGAGUUUCGUCUCUUGGGUAAAAGCAGUGGAAUGUAGCAGCUUGUCUGUAUUAUAGCCUCUGUUCAUACAAGACGUCGAGACUUGAUUUGUUGGCGUAAUGAUCUCUAGNCACCCGUCUUGAAACACGGACCAAGGAGUCUAUUGCCUAUGCGAGUGUUUGGGUGGAAAACCCUUGCGCGUAAUGAAAGUGAAAAGAUCAGGGCUCUUUUUUGAGUGCACGAUCGACCGAUCUUGACGAUUUUCAGAUGGAUUUGAGUAAGAGCAUAGUUGAUGGGACCCGAAAGAUGGUGAACUAUACUUGGCGAGGGCGAAGCCAGAGGAAACUCUGGUGGAGGUCCGUAGGGGUUCUGACGUGCAAAUCGAUCCUCUCAGCUGAGUAUGGGGGCGAAAGACUAAUCGAACCAUCUAGUAGCUGGUUCCCUCCGAAGUUUCCCUCAGGA
rnacentral:rRNA from 1 species